rnacentral:sRNA from 1 species
AUUAUUUUUAUAAUAAAUACAACAUAUGUAGUUUUAAGUAAAUGUAUAAAAUUUGUAUACAAGUUGCUUUGGUAAAAAACAUGUUUCCUUUGUAUUAGAAGAUCUAAUUUUUGGGCUAACUUAUAAUUAGUCUUUGUAUAGUAUUUUGGUUAUAUUUGUGGACCUAAUUGGACCCUAUAAGAUUAUCUUUGAUAGGGCUCACGAAAAAACGGACCCGAUAACCAAUCAAAUAUCCGAACCAAAUAACCGGGUUAGGGCGGGUUAGAAUUUUAGGAAAUUUCCUUAUUGGGUAGAGUUGUAGUAAACCCGUGGAUAUCCGAUUGGUCCAGAAAUUACCCGUUACCCAAAAAGGGUAUUCAAAAACCCAAACAUUAAUUUAAUAUCCAAAAUAUUAAUUAUAUUUAAUCGUAAUAUAAUCUAAUUAUCUAAGAUUAUAAUUAUAAAUCUAAAUAUGUCAAUUAAUUUUGGACCUAAAUAUCCAAAACAACUAAACUAUUCAAAAAUUAUUUGUUAUGUUUGUCAAAAUUUAGUAAAAUAUAUUCAAAUAUAAUUAAAUUUAUUAAAACUUAACAAAUUUAAAAGCUUUUUUGUUUGGAGACCAUCUAUCUACAAACAAAUACCCGUUUCUAUUUUUUGGGUAUUUUAGGGCAUGAAACUUUUUAUCCAAACAGACCCAAACCCAAAUGGACCCGACCCGAACCCGAACCAAAUAUUUAGAAUUAUUCUAUUGGGUAGUAAAUAAUAUACCCAUUAAUCCCAAACCCGAACGGGUUCUACCCGAACUCGAAUGAGUUACUCAUAUGCCAGCCCUAUUCUCUAAUUUAAUUAUCUAAAAACUCCCCAAAAAACAUAUAUUUUGCUGACUACUUUUUAUUCAAAAAAUUUUACAUCCUCUUCUGCCAAAAUUAUUCAUAAGACAUCCCAAAACCCUUGGAAUAAUGAUUCCAUGAAUGAAGAAUCUUAAUUUGAAUAUACCAAGAGAUUUUGAAAGGUUUUAAGUUUUUGAUAGGUGUGUAUGUGAGAAGGUACAUACAUCGUGAUGGUAAUCUACCUAUUUAUAAUUUUAAUCUGCAGUAUACCGCAGGUAGGCUUAUAUUUUAGUUAAACUAAAAACUUUUAUUGUAAAGAUAAU